rfam:Ornithorhynchus anatinus chromosome 3, whole genome shotgun sequence.
CCCUUCUCAGGGUCUCACCUGGAGAGUUUCCAGUAUUCUACCAGUCUCAGUUACGGGAAGGAGAGUCAAGCAGAGGCAUAUCCAUUCCUUUCUUAGCUUGGGCAGUGGCUAGCGAGUGGAAGACAAUCUGUUACAAGU